GAAGAAGAAACGAGAAAUAGAGGUGGAAUAGGAGAAGGAGCCAAGGUGUAAUAUUUAGGUACAGGAUGGCCAGGCGGGUGUUGCGGAAGACCAGCGGGCGAGGUCACAAGUGGAAGAAAGGUCACAGCUGUGUGUCCAACCCCGAGGUCACCAAGCACUGCCAAGCUGCCAGAGAGAGAGAGAGAGAGAGAGAGAGAGAGAGAGAGAGA
rnacentral:lncRNA from 1 species